rnacentral:rRNA from 1 species
AGUGAAUCAUCAUCUUUGAACACACAUUGCGCCCCUGUAUUCUGGGGGCAUGCCUGUCUAGCGUCAUUUCCCCU